rnacentral:rRNA from 1 species
AUUGAACGCUGGCGGCAGGCCUAACACAUGCAAGUCGAGCGCGAAAGGCCUUCGGGCUGAGUAGAGCGGCGGACGGGUGAGUAACGCGUAGGAAUCUACCUGGUAGUGGGGGACAACUUGGGGAAACUCAAGCUAAUACCGCAUACGCCCUAUGGGGGAAAGUGGGGGACCUUCGGGCCUCACGCUAUCAGAUGAGCCUGCGUAGGAUUAGCUAGUUGGUGGGGUAAAGGCCCACCAAGGCGACGAUCCUUAGCUGGUCUGAGAGGAUGAUCAGCCACACUGGGACUGAGACACGGCCCAGACUCCUACGGGAGGCAGCAGUGGGGAAUAUUGCGCAAUGGGGGCAACCCUGACGCAGCCAUGCCGCGUGUGUGAAGAAGGCCUUCGGGUUGUAAAGCACUUUCACUUGGGAAGAAAAGCUCAUUGUUAAUAGCGGUGAGCCCUGACAUUACCUUGAGAAGAAGCACCGGCUAACUCCGUGCCAGCAGCCGCGGUA